rnacentral:rRNA from 1 species
AUACGUAGGUGACAAGCGUUAUCCGGAUUUACUGGGCGUAAAGGGCGUGUAGGCGGUCUUGCAAGUCAGAAGUGAAAUUCCUGAGCUCAACUCGGGCGCUGCUUCUGAAACUGCAGGACUUGAGUGCUGGAGGGGAUAGCGGAAUUCCUAGUGGAGCGGUAAAAUGCGCAGAUAUUAGGGAGAACACCGGUGGCGAAGGCGGCUAUCUGGACAGUAACGGACGCUGAGGCGCGAAAGCGUGGGGAGCAAACAGGUUUAGAUGCCCUGGUAGUCCACGCCGUAAACGAUGAAUACUAGGUGUAGGGUGUAUCGACUCCCUCUGUGCCGCAGUUAACACAAUAAGUAUUCCGCCUGGGGAGUACGGCCGCAAGGUUGAAACUCAAAUGAAUUGACGGGG